rnacentral:lncRNA from 1 species
AAGGCUUUUAAAGACACCGGAAAAACACCCAUGGAGCUGGAGGUGGCAAUUCACCGAAUUCAAAUCACUCUAACGAGCUGCAACAUAAAAUCCCUGGAGAAGAUGUGUGCUGACUUGAUCAGAGGAGCAAAGGAAAAGAAUCUCAGUGAAAGGAUCAGUUCGAAUGCCUACCAAGACUUUGAGAAUCACUACAAGAAAAACUUGUGGUCAAGGUUCUAAGACAUAGGAAUGUUUCCAUAGGAGAAUCCACAAGCAACUAAUUGACUUGCACAGUCCUUCUGAGAUUGUUAAGCAAAUUACUUCCAUCAGUACUGAGCCAGGAGUUGAGGUGCAAGUCACCACUGCAGAUGCUUAA